UUAAGCAAGAUGACAUUAUGUAGAUAGAAUAAACCAAGCAAUAUGAUUAAACCCCGUCAUUUUCUCCUUAGUAGCAACAAUACAAUACGUGUCUCGCUACCCUUGCUUUCACUGGGUGAGGACACCGCAAGAUUGAACCUACUAUGAUCCACCACUUCCAUUGAAGAUCAUCUAAUCAACUUGGCCAAAGAAAACCCAUAGAUUGGAAAUCAUUACAUAGUAUAAAAAUCACACAUAAUAAAGUUCAGAAAAUACUCAAUUACUUUCAAUGAAUAUUCAAAUCAUAAACCCACAAUUCAUCAUAUCCCAACAAACGUACCACAAAAAAAUAUUACACCGGUUUGAUCUCCGAAGAGAGCAUUGUAUUGAAGAUCAAAAAGAGAGAGAAAGCCAUCUAGCUAUUAUUGACUCGUAGGUGUGUGGUGGACUACUCACACAUCAUCAGAGGUGCAGCAAGGUUGAUGUAGAAGCCCUCCAGCUGAGUACCCAGAAGGCAUCUAGACGGGAUCGCGGAAGAAUAGAGACUUGCGGCGGCGAAAAAAUUGUUUCGGGCAGCUCUCUAUUUUUUUUAAAUAUGUGAGAAUUUAUAGCACUGGAAUUAGGCCAGAUGGAGCCAUAAGGGGACGACAAGGCAUGAGGGUGCGCCUACCUCCAGGGCGCGCCCUGUUGACUUGUGAUCUACUGGUAGGUCUUCUGGUCCUUCCCCGAAGCUUCUAGGGUCUCUUAUGUCCAGAAAAAAAAACAUCAAAAUUUUUCGUCGUGUUUGGUCUCUGUUGGUACAGAUUUUCUGUAAAACAAAAAAAUAGAAAAACAACAACUGCCACUAGGCACUGAGUUAAUAGGUUAGUCCCCACAAAUGAUGUAAAAUUGCAUAUAAAGUAUCUAAAAAUGAUGAUAUAAUAGUAUAAAACUGUUAAAAUUGUAGUCCGACGUAUCAGCACGUCAACGUGUUGGUUGGUCAUGCGGGCCAGGGACCAGACGCCAGGGUCCUGGCGUCUUCCGUGCAAGCUGGCACGCCAGGGAUGUUGGCGGGACCAAAAAAGUAAGAUUCAUUUUUUUAACGAGGUCAAUUCUGUAUUUUUUUAGAAGAAAAGGGCUCUUACCCCAGUUUCAUUUUUUUUCUCUAAUACGCACAAGCAUGCGUAUCAUAUAUUCAUAGAAGAAGUAGCCAAGAUGGCCAAUACAACGCCUUUCGGCAAAGUGUUACACCAAAAGGUUAACACCUACAUCCACCAAGGCAACACCGACACACAACUCACCUUGCCCAAACUCAAGCCGAACAAUGGCAAAGAGGACGGACACAGAGCACAUAGGCCGCGUCCCAACCGAACCGAACACCUCAGAGCUGGACAAAAACAUCAAAGCAAACUAGAUCAACGCACUCUCCACCCAUGGCGCCUAGGAGAUCGGCAAGUGGACAGCAGGAGCUAGCCUAGCUCGAUGAAUACCUCGCAGAUGAGCCGUUGAGGAUGGAGUACAUAGCGCCCCGGAUGCUCAUGUCCGUAGCAAGAACCAACACAUGACAACCCUGCACCCCAAGUCUCGCCGCCGAUGCAAACUGAGACACCCACACUAGUUACUCCUUCGAAAGACACCUGAUCACCUAGGCAACGCCUUCAAGAAGGGGACGACGUCGUGACGUCGCCACUGCCUGGCCCGGCGAACCGAGCAUAGGGUUUCCCCCGAUGAGAGCAGGGGAUGUACAAGGCCAUGGCAAUGCCUCCAAGGAGGAGACGGCGCCCACAGGCGUCGCCGUUGCCCGCAGCCACAGCAGCGCACGGAUUUCUCCUCGGCCUUGUCAUAACGUCUUCGGAGCGCAGUAAACUGAGAAGGGGGGCAAAGUCGUCACCUUUGGCCAUCACCAUGGAAAGGGGAAGUCGUAUGCCGCUGCGCCGCCACCCACACCGUCGGAACAAGCGCGUCCACCACCAUCGUGCCGGUCGGCAACCACCACACGCCGGCCAGAACUCGCACCACCGUGCCGCCUCAUCGCACGAUUUUCUGGGGCCGUCGCCCUGGCUUCCACCGAGAGGAUCCGCCACCCGGAGCCACAACCCCACCAUGGAGCUAGCCGACCCCGAGCUAGGCAGAGCCCCAGCCAGAUGACGCCACCACCGAUGGGAGCGCCCGCUCCAGCGCACCACGCCACCACAGCACGACGCCCCACCACCAUCCUCCAGGGCCGCCGGAUGAACCCCUGACGCCACCAACCCCCACCACCACCGACCGGAUCUGGGCAAGAGACCCUAGAUCCUCCGCCACCAUGCCUCAGCCCGUGCCCAGGCGAGAUGCAGGGCAACCAGAGCAAGGCCGCAC
rnacentral:lncRNA from 1 species